rnacentral:rRNA from 1 species
ACGGGUGAGUAACACGUAAGGAAUCUGCCCUAAGGUGGGGAAUAACUAUCCCAACGGAUAGCUAAUACCGCAUAAGGAUGGAGGUGGCAUCACCUCUUCUCGAAAGAUUUAUCGCCUUAGGAUGACCUUGCGGCCCAUUAGCUUGUUGGCGGUGUAACGGACCACCAAGGCGACGAUGGGUAUCCGGCCUGAGAGGGUGUACGGACACAUUGGGACUGAGAUACGGCCCAGACUCCUACGGGAGGCAGCAGUAGGGAAUUUUGCGCAAUGGGGGAAACCCUGACGCAGCAACGCCAUGUGUGGGAUGAAGCAUUUCGGUGUGUAAACCACUGUCAGCAGGGAAUAAAUGGUCUCUUCGGAGGCAGUUGAAUGUACCUGCAAAGGAAGCCCCGGCUAACUUCGUGCCAGCAGCCGCGGUAAUACGAGGGGGGCAAAUGUUGUUCGGAAUCACUGGGCGUAAAGGGAGCGUAGGCGGACUUUUAAGUUAGGUGUUUAAUCCCGGGGCCCAACCCCGGACAGGCACCUAAAACUGGGAGUCUUGAAUAGUGGAGAGGACGGCGGAAUUGGGGGUGUAGCGGUGGAAUGCGUAGA